rnacentral:lncRNA from 1 species
UACAUAACAGCACAUCCAGUGCUGUUGAAGCUGAUGGCUACAUCACCACCUGCAGUCAGUUUACAGGCAGAUGGAUGCAGCCUACAGAUCACUGGCUGUGUGGAUGUAUUUGUUGUUCUGCCAAAUUCAACCAUACAGUACAUCUUUACAGGGAAUCUAACAGCCAGUACCAGAGCUAAUCUGACAGUAACCAAACAGAAGUUGAUUAUCUCAUUACUUCUGAAGAGUUGACAGAGCAACAGAAACCAUGUAUGUCCAUCAGUGUGCUGCAGACUGGAGAGCGUGGAGAAAG